CCUACGGGUGGCAGCAGUGGGGAAUAUUGGACAAUGGGCGAAAGCCUGAUCCAGCCAUGCCGCGUGUGUGAAGAAGGCCUUCGGGUUGUAAAGCACUUUCAGUGGGGAAGAAAGCCUUGGGGCUAAUACCCUCGAGGAAGGACAUCACCCACAGAAGAAGCACCGGCUAACUCAGUGCCAGCAGCCGCGGUAAUACGGAGGGUGCGAGCGUUAAUCGGAAUUACUGGGCGUAAAGCGCGCGUAGGCGGUCUGAUAAGCCGGUUGUGAAAGCCCCGGGCUCAACCUGGGAACGGCAUCCGGAACUGUCAGGCUAGAGUGCAGGAGAGGAAGGUAGAAUUCCCGGUGUAGCGGUGAAAUGCGUAGAGAUCGGGAGGAAUACCAGUGGCGAAGGCGGCCUUCUGGACUGACACUGACGCUGAGGUGCGAAAGCGUGGGUAGCAAACAGGAUUAGAUACCCUGGUAGUC
rnacentral:rRNA from 1 species